rnacentral:rRNA from 1 species
AUUGAACGCUGGCGGCAGGCCUAACACAUGCAAGUCGAGCGGAGCGGCGGACGGGUGCGUGAUGCCUAGGAAUCUGCCUGGUAGUGGGGGAUAACGUCCGGAAACGGGCGCUAAUACCACAACCUCUCAGAUGAGCCUCGGUCGGAUUGGCUGGUUGGUGGGGUAAGGGCCUACCAAGGCGACGAUCAGUAACUGGUCCGGGAGGAGGAUCAGUCACACUGGAACUGAGACACGGUCCAGAUUCCUACGGGAGGCAGCAGUGGGGAAUUUUGGACAAGGGGCGAAAGCCUGACCCAGCCAUGCCGCGUGUGUGAAGAAGGUCUUCGGGUUGUAAAGUACUUUAAGUUGGGAGGCGGUACCAGCAGAAUAAGCACCGGCUAACUUCGUGCCAGCAGCCGCGGUAAUUC